CUGGCUCAGAACGAACGCUGGCGGCAGGCUUAACACAUGCAAGUCGAGCGCCCCGCAAGGGGAGCGGCAGACGGGUGAGUAACGCGUGGGAAUCUACCCUUUUCUACGGAAUAACGCAUGGAAACGUGUGCUAAUACCGUAUGAGCCCUUCGGGGGAAAGAUUUAUCGGGAAAGGAUGAGCCCGCGUUGGAUUAGCUAGUUGGUGGGGUAAAGGCCUACCAAGGCGACGAUCCAUAGCUGGUCUGAGAGGAUGAUCAGCCACAUUGGGACUGAGACACGGCCCAAACUCCUACGGGAGGCAGCAGUGGGGAAUAUUGGACAAUGGGCGCAAGCCUGAUCCAGCCAUGCCGCGUGAGUGAUGAAGGCCCUAGGGUUGUAAAGCUCUUUCACCGGUG
rnacentral:rRNA from 1 species